rnacentral:rRNA from 1 species
GGAUUUAUUGGGUUUAAAGGGUGCGUAGGCGGAUAGAUAAGUCAGUGGUGAAAUUCUGCAGCUUAACUGUAGACUUGCCGUUGAUACUGUCAGUCUUGAGUAUGGUCAAGGCAGGCGGAAUGUGUAAUGUAGCGGUGAAAUGCUUAGAUAUUACACAGAACACCGAUUGCGAAGGCAGCUUGCUGGACCAUUACUGACGCUGAUGCACGAAGGCGUGGGGAUCGAACAGGAUUAGAUACCCUGGUAGUCCACGCCGUAAACGAUGAUCACUCGCUGUUGGCGAUACACAGUCAGCGGCUAAGCAAAAGCAUUAAGUGAUCCACCUGGGGAGUACGGCCGCAAGGCUGAAACUCAAAGGAAUUGACGGGGGCCCGCACAAGCGGAGGAACAUGUUGUUUAAUUCGAUGAUACGCGAGGAACCUUACCUGGGCUUAAAUGUAGAGUGCAUUGGUGAGAAAUCAUCAUUUUCUUCGGAACUCUCUGCAAGGUGCUGCAUGGUUGUCGUCAGCUCGUGCCGUGAGGUGUCGGGUUAAGUCCCAUAACGAGCGCAACCCUUAUCGUUAGUUGCCAGCGGGUAAUGCCGGGGACUCUAGCGAAACUGCCGGUGUAAACCGAGAGGAAGGUGGGGAUGACGUCAAAUCAGCACGGCCCUUAUGUCCAGGGCUACACACGUGUUACAAUGGCCGGUACAGAGGGCAGCUACCUGGAGACAGGAUGCGAAUCUCGAAAGCCGGUCUCAGUUCGGAUCGGAGUCUGCAACUCGACUCCGUGAAGCUGGAUUCGCUAGUAAUCGCGCAUCAGCCAUGGCGCGGUGAAUACGUUCCCGGGCCUUGUACACACCGCCCGUCAAGCCAUGGAAGUUGGGGGUACCUGAAGUCCGUAACCGUAAGGAGCGGCCUAGGGUAAAACCAGUGACUGGGGCUAAGUCGUAACAAGGUA